rnacentral:lncRNA from 1 species
UUGGUGAAUAAGCUGUGAGAAAGCUUGAUGUCCUAGAGAUUGUCAUUAUUGAGAGUGAAGAGCCCAGUGCUCGUAAUCCUAUAAAACAAUAACCCAUUAGGGAUUGUUGGGGUACUAUCAACGUACACCCUUCAAUGUUUAAGUCAGAGAUCGAAAAUAGAAAGAUAACAAAUAAAUAAUAUAAGAGAGAAAAGAAAUUAAGAGAAUGGCCUGGAGAAUAUUGUACCCCCUCCUUCAAUAUACCUAUUUCUCUAUAUCCCACCUUUGAGUGAUGCCCUCUUUAUAUAAGAGAGAUAAUUAGAAGUAUAAUUAAAUUAGAAAAACUUUUCUUUUAUCUUGUAGGAUUGGAGUUUAGCAAGAAUUAGGACCUAUAUUUUUUAAUGCUGUUUAGAUUAGGAUAUGUUAUUAGAUGUGAGUCCUUGAGUUCGAGGCCCUUUCGUUAUGUCAUUAGGUAGAAUUUGGUAAAAAUAUAGGUAUAACAGGAGCCCCCAAAUUAUAGUAUUCACGAAUUUACAAGUGAAUGCUGUAAACUGAUAUAUUUUAUAAUAUGUUAGAUUUUCUUAUUGUCCCUUGUAUGAUAUAAAGACAUCUCAAGUGUUGUGAGGAAAUCUUGAACGACAUGAGUGAAUCUUAAAUAUGAUGAGGAAAAUCUCGAAUGACAUGAGAGAAAUGCGAAUGACACGAGGAAAUCACAAGUGUCAUGAUGACAUCUUGAAUGGCAUGAGGACAAUAUGAAUGACUAGAGGAGACUCGAAUGUCAUAAGGAUAGCUUGAAUAACUUGAGGAGUUCUCACAAUAUGGGUCAUAAAACAAUUUGAAUGGCAUGAGGAUAAUAUGAAUGACAUGAACAAAUCUCAAAUGUUAUUAGGAUAACUUGAAUGACAUGAGGAGAUUUUGAAUGUUAUGAUAUGGGUCAUAAAAUUAAAAUAAUACUGCAAUAUGGAGGUAUAAAUUAAAAUAAUAUUGCCAUAAGCACCAUUAGAUUAAGAUAAUGCCACGAUAAAGGGCCAUAAUUAAGAUAAAAAUAAUGCCGCAGUAAGGGCUUGCAAAUUAUGCUAGGACACAGGCCAUAAUUAAGAUAAAAAUGAUGUUGUGAUAAGGGUCAUAACUAAGAUAAAAAUGAUGCCGCGGUAAGGGCUUGCAAAAUGCGCUGCGAUGAGGGCCAUAAUUAAAAUAAAAAUGAUGCCGUAGUAAGUGCUUGCAAAUUAUGCUGCGAUAAAGGGCCAUAAUUAAAAUAAAAUGAUGCCGCGGCAAGGGCUUGUAAAUAAGGGUCAUAAUUAAGAUAAAAUGAUGCCGCGAUAAGGGCUUACAAAAUAUGUCCAGACAAGGGUAAAGACAAAAAUGAUGUCGCAGUAAAAGGCUAUUUAACAUCUCUGUGUUCCAAAUUUUCCUGACCUCAGGUCAAUUAGCACUCUGCAAUGUCAUGAGAUCGAGACUUAAGAGCAUGGGUUAGGGUACAUGUUAUAAGAUUGAGGCUUAUGAGCAUAAGGCCGAGUUAUGUGCGAUGAGAUUGAGACCCAGAGUAUGAGAUCAAGAUACAUACCAUAAAAUCGAGAUAAAAAAAAGUAUGAGAUAGAGAUACGUAUUACGAGAUCGAGGCACAAGAGUAUGAGGCCAAAAUUUGUAGAAUAAGAUCGAGGCCUCUAGCACACUUAACAGAGAUUCCAAGCAUUUAAUCUUUGUAGCCAUGUGUAUGGUUUUAAUCCAAUCUAGAUUAUUGCGUAUAAUCAAUAACAGAAUAAAUAUUAAAGUGAAAGAAAAUGGGCAAAAUAGUAAAUUUCACAUAGUGAGGGUUUACCUUCCUGGCCACCAGUGGCCGGAGAAUCAAGUGAAAGUGGUCGUGAUAUAGGCUUCAGCCUGCGAAGAGUCCAACGGUGGUGGUGGUGAGUCGUAUCGCGCUGUGGCGGCGGCAGAUCGAGAUCCUUAGCCGCGUGUGCUUCAGCGGCUGUCAGCGACCAAUUCGGUGACUUCUGGUUAGUGUUAAUGGCUGGAGUUUGAAAGGAGCAAAACCCAGGUGACGAUGAGUCGUAAUUCCGGCAGAUAUGCACUGGGUCUUGGCGGCGGUUUCGCGAAGAUUGUGGUUUCGUGCGGCGGUUUUCUGGACAUUUUCCGGCGGCGUCGAAGAAGGUAUUUUGUUAGCCGGAAUUGGGGGCUUCGAUAGUGGCCAAUCGGAAAUUGAAUCGGGGGGGUAGUGAUUGCCGCGAGUGGUGGCUUGCUUUGCGCUCGAGUUUGGGAAUUUGUACCCGACCCGUUUCCUCUGGUCCAUUGAUAUUAUUUAUUUAUUUUGUUUUGUUGCUUUUCCGACCAUAAUUGUUGAGAUAUCUAGGCUUUUUGUCUGAUCCCCAAAAAUGGCGCGAAUUGUUGGUACUUAAAUUUGAAUCAACAAUAAGAAUCAGGAAAUAAUUAUUUUGGGAAAUAGGUUGUGAGAGAACUUGAUAUCCUAAGAAUUGUUUUUGUUAAUUUAUUUAUUUUUAUUACUUUUCUACCAUUAUUGUUGGGUUCUUUAGGUUUUUUGUUUCAUCUCCAUAGACAAAGUCAAACUGUUGAUUUCUAAAAUUUGGACCGACAAUAAGAGUUUAGAAAGAGUUGUUUUAACCGGGGAAGAAGUUGUAAGAUAAAUUGAUGUCUUAGGAAUUGCUAUAAUUGAGAGUGAAGAGCUAAGUGAUCAUAAUCCUACAAAACAAUAAUCUAUAAGGAAUCGCCAAAGAUGUUAUUGGCGCAGAUCCUUCGAUACUUAAGUUAGAUAUUGAGGGUGUUAUCGGUAUAAACCAUUCGAUACUUAAGUUAGUGAUCUAAAGUAGCACAAUAACAAAUAAAUAAUUAGAGAGAGAAAAGAGAGCAUGAAAAAGGCUUGGCUCCUCCAAUA